rnacentral:rRNA from 1 species
UACGGGGGGGGCAAGCGUUGUUCGGAAUUACUGGGCGUAAAGGGUUCGUAGGUGGCUUGUUAAGUCAGACGUGAAAUCCCUCGGCUCAACCGGGGAACUGCGUCUGAGACUGAUGAGCUCGAGUGCAGGAGAGGAACGCGGAAUUCCAGGUGUAGCGGUGAAAUGCGUAGAUAUCUGGAGGAACACCGGUGGCGAAGGCGGCGUUCUGGACUGCAACUGACACUGAGGAACGAAAGCCAGGGGAGCAAAACGGG